GGCACUGUGGCUCAGUGGUUAAGUGCUGGUUCACUAUGCGGGCGACCCGAGUUCUAUUCCCGGCCAGCGUCG